GCAAUACUGUAGUGUCGUCCCUUUCAUUCCAAUUCAUAUCAGAAAACGGGACGACACUACCUACAGUGUUGCCACUUUUUAAUUUCUACUCUUUUUGCCAAGCUGUAUAGCGGAAUAGUAUAUUUAUACUGGGUCAAGCAGAUCUUGUCAAUAGAAAAAGACGGCAAAUUUGAAAAAUGUAGGCGCGAAGGGAUAUUGAAAAUUUGAAUUUCGCGCCUUUUUCUACUGACAAGAUUUGCUUGACAAUCUAUAUUACAUACCUUUCCUAAAGCAGUAAAGUAAGAAAUAUCUUUCUCUUUUACUACCCGAGUAUUAUUUUUCUGCUCGACGGAGCCGGAAAGCGGCAACUUCGUUUAGCGCAGCGGGCCGCUUUCCGGCCGGAAGCCAGAAGAAAUAUUUCCCACUAUUCUUUAUAGUGCAUUGUGCCAUAUGGGGCGUAAGUUGAAUAUUGCAAACGAGAGUAAUUUAAAUCGCGACGGCUUGCCGAGUUGGCAAUAUUAUUACGCCCCGACUUACACACAAUGUUUUUCAUCACACUUGCGAUACAAAAAUUAAGUAUAAAGACAAAAAACUGUUAAUUAUGGCACUAGAAACUUCAUAACUCCCUUGGGAGAAAGCUUUUUCUUUAACUCCCGCUAAACCUGCGUGCAAUUCCACAUUUACUGGGCGAGUGUGAUGAAAAAGCAUAAGUACAGUCUCUGGCAACAGUAUCGGAUACAAAACGCUUCAAAAAUACCUCUAAAAUAGAAUUGUUUUAUAAAAUAAUUAAGUCUAUCUAUCUAUCCUAUUAUUUGAACGCUGUUAUUGGUUUUUUUUGCAUUAGAAAAAGACUAAGUACGUGUUCUUGACGUUGUAACAACAAAAUUCUAAUUCUUCAUUUUUUCAAUACUGUUUAGUAUGUGACCUAUAUUCGUUCGAUACCCUUAACGCCAUCUAGCGAGCUCAGUCGAUAACAACAUGGUCCGGGUUGCUAGAUUAAAAAAAUAAUUUCGGUGCCUUCCUACAUUUUGUUUAUUUUUUUAAUCGAAAGGGGUUUGUAAAUUAAAAUUGUCUUCAAAUAUUGUUUUUUCUUUCUAUUUAAUAUUAGUUCAAAUAAGUAAAGAAGAUAGGUAAUGUUUUCUUUUCAAAAUCACCUAGGAUUGCACGAAUCCAGUUCGGGCUGUGGCAACUCUGCCCUUUGACUUGUCAUUAUUCUUCCUGUCAAAAUGAAGAUCGUGGACCGUUUUUCUUUUGCGGUGUUUCGCCGUAUGAAAGCCGUUUAAUGGCUAUAAUACAUCCCAUCGGGAGACAUCUCCUUUUUAAGUGAGUAUUUUGGUGAUUUUUGCGACGGGUUUUGUGCAUAAGAUUCCAUUUAAUAGCGUGGUGAAUUUUAUUUCACAGUCCCGGAUUUUUAUCCUAUAUGGAAGUCCUGUGAGACGAUGGUGUGUUGGUGGAGGCCUCAUCGAGUCGACAUGCUGGUCAAUCCCGGCCACGUAUGCCGCUUCUCCUCGAUGGGUAAGUUAAUUACUUGUUUUUGAAUUCGUAAUCCUUACGCCCAUGCGGGGGUCCGCUCUUUAAAUCAUGAACCGAUUUUUCUCCUUUAUUUAGGUUCCAGCUUGUCAAAAGUCUGUGAACCCUGUCUUACUACCUGUAACUCGUUACAGGGCCUACCACUUAGUCUACAGUUUGGCUGUAAGGCAGCCCCCAGCCAGCUUGGUGUACCGGCGGUCGGGGCCUGUUCGCUAUUACUACAACUACCAUGGAUGCAGAGGCACUGCGACAUGAGUCUCCAUUAGUGUGUCGGCAGUGGUACCUUCCUUCUAAUGUCACUACUUAAAAGGUCAGAGACAACCAAUUUAUUAUAUUCUCCAAGGCGCCCAACUUACUUUAAAUAAUUUUCCUUAUUUUUUAUACCACGUACCCAGAGUGCCCAACCAUAAGAAAUGUAGCCGCCAAACCCACAUUUGCUCUCAUAUUUUUAGUUAAGUCUGUAGUAAGCUAGCCGAGGCUAUUUAAUAUAUUAUAAUGUCAUAAGUUAACAUUUGACACUUCUAAACUUAGAUAUUUGUCGUUUAGUCAAAUAAAUGUAUUAUAAGUAAUGUACUAGUUUCCUUUAUUCCAUUUUAAUUAGCCCCCUAAAAUAAUAAUGGUAACAGUGUCACCCAUCGCGGGGCUUUUCUUUUGGCGAGCACCCUUUAGUCACAUAUAAGUUAGCUAAAGGAACUUAUGGUUGGACAUCCUGUUUGCUUUAUUGUACCUACUUUUGUUUACUGCAAUAUUCAAAAUAAUUACUAUUUAAUUGUGGUUAGGACAGCCACAUGUUGUCAAUUGUCUACUUAUAUACUUAUGUUGUACUGUAAAGGAGUUGUAGUCUAAUUACUUAUUCAUUUGCUGGUAUUUAAACUCCAGAUGUUAUUAAUUUAAAGCAAUUUUAGACAAUUGUCGUAAACUUGACAAUUUAUUUUAUAAAUGUAUUUCCUUAAUGUUAAAAGUUUUUACUUCAUAAAAGACGUUGUAGUUUACCGGAUAGCAGACACACUAUGUUUUGACUAUUGUAUUUUUUUUUGUGAUUUAUAUAAUGUUUUACCGGAGAGUCACUCACAAAAGGUUAAACCCUUACCGGGUAGUGAGGUACUUAAGUGCUUAAACUUUAAUUUAUUUUUCACUUUCAAUUUUUUUUUGGUGACUUGUUUACAAACAAAAGUUUUUAAUUUACUAGAGGGUUAGUAGUAGUGUUAAAAAUGUAAUACCUAAUUUCCAUUGUUUUUUUUUAUAUACUUGAUGUGAAGGAUUAGUUACUGGUAAUUGUACUACUAUGGUAAUCUUGUUUGAAAGGAUGGACCGUAUUAUAAAUUUAUUACAUAAUGUAAAGGGAGCAAAUUUGGAGGUUAUAGUGAAGUACAGUCAGCAGGAGUUUACAUUUAUUAAGUUUAUUACGGGAUGUUUGGAGUUGAAGUUUAAAAUAAAUAAAAUUAAUAUUAAAUAGUUUCUUGACGUGGUUGGGUACAGUCAGUCACAAUUAUUGUUGUUGACUUACGUUUUUUUUUUAAAUAACUUACCGAUAUUCAAAUAGCGGUUUACCUUUAAGGUCGAAUCUUAUUGUAGUAGUUUUCACAAUUGUUUCGUACGGGAGUUAUGUUUAUUACCUACUUUUCCUUAUCUAUUGUCUCGACUUAAAUCGAGUUUUUUCCUUAUUGUUGUUAUUUUAGGUGAAGUAAAUAUUUACUUAUUAGUUAACUAUCGGUGAUUGCGCGUUUUUUUUUUUUGUUGAUGUUCGGUAGGAGUUUUUUUUUAUAUGUGUUGCGUGCAGGAGUUUUGUUUACGUAUUACUUUCUUUCGAUCGUGUCUGAGCAAACGUAACUCAGGCACGUGGUUUGUUUGUUGUUGGUGGGCGAAGAGGACGAUUUAAAGACUCUUCGCGUGUUUACCGGGGUGCUGGCGCUUUAAACCAGCAUUCCAAUCGGCACUGGCUGGUCGGGUUUUGGCGGACUUUAAACCGUCAAGCUCUUAAUAGCAGUGCCAUCUUCUUUGUUAACGCUUUGCGGUAUGACUUAAAUCAUAUGCGUGAACGUUAAUGUUGAUGUUAGGGGGUUGUUAUGUGGUACACGCCUUAAAGCGUCGUCCGCAAACAUCGGAUUUUUGUGUGUCAGACUGACAGACUUGCAUUGCUUGAAAUGGAGCCUGUACAGUCGACUUCCUUGUGUGUCUCGUGUUGUUUCGAACGUUACCGUCUGCCUGUCGUUCAGACACAGCUGGUCAACGUAUCGUUGUGUUGCGUUUUGUCUCGUUUCCGCGUUCAGACCUGUGUCGACUUAAGGCACGGCCUGAUAAAUGCGCGUUACUUGAAUGGUGUAAAGUAGCAGUCACCGAUCUUAGUUAGUUAAAUUUUACCUGGCUAUAAGCCGUCUAUCCACAGUGAGCGUUGGCAGUGCAGGGCGAAAUCCCUGAUUUCGCACUGCAGGGCCAGUGUUCCUGUGAGGAGUGUCGACUGGUAGCUCAGUGGCUCUUUAGCCGAGCUAUCGGACACUGCCCUUAACUCAUAUGGGUAAUUGACUGUACUCAGUCCUUACCACAGAUUAUUGAUUAAUCUGUUACCUUACGCACAUUCCGCCAUAUAAUUUGGACGUGCAGCCCGCGACCCAGGUCGCUCGCUGCGCCGCCAAGAUAUACAGCGAUGCAGUGCGUAGGUAGGGAGCUUUGCAGCUUCGCUUAUUAGCGUUUAGUUUCGUUUAGGUUAAUAUACGUUUAGGGUAUCGUAGUGUAUAUUACGGUAUAGUAAUAUUAUAGUUUGUAGGUGGUAACUUGUGCACAGCUCGGCUGUGCUUAUUUUUUUUAUUAUAGUUUAAUGCGUGGGUUCGAAUUGGGUGGUCGUUGCUUUCCUUUAUGCCUUUGGCGUCGAUUUUUUUUGGGACUUCUUCUAGAAAAUAAGAGGGUGGUUUUGCGAGCUGGGGGCCAGCUCAAAAUUUUGCCGUAGUCAAAAUUUUCUUCGGGUAGGGGAGCACUGUAACAACAAAAUUCUAAUUCUUCAUUUUUUCAAUACUGUUUAGUAUGUGACCUAUAUUCGUUCGAUACCCUUAACGCCAUCUAGCGAGCUCAGUCGAUAACAACAUGGUCCGGGUUGCUAGAUUAAAAAAAUAAUUUCGGUGCCUUCCUACAUUUUGUUUAUUUUUUUAAUCGAAAGGGGUUUGUAAAUUAAAAUUGUCUUCAAAUAUUGUUUUUUCUUUCUAUUUAAUAUUAGUUCAAAUAAGUAAAGAAGAUAGGUAAUGUUUUCUUUUCAAAAUCACCUAGGAUUGCACGAAUCCAGUUCGGGCUGUGGCAACUCUGCCCUUUGACUUGUCAUUAUUCUUCCUGUCAAAAUGAAGAUCGUGGACCGUUUUUCUUUUGCGGUGUUUCGCCGUAUGAAAGCCGUUUAAUGGCUAUAAUACAUCCCAUCGGGAGACAUCUCCUUUUUAAUCCCGGAUUUUUAUCCUAUAUGGAAGUCCUGUGAGACGAUGGUGUGUUGGUGGAGGCCUCAUCGAGUCGACAUGCUGGUCAAUCCCGGCCACGUAUGCCGCUUCUCCUCGAUGGGUAAGUUAAUUACUUGUUUUUGAAUUCGUAAUCCUUACGCCCAUGCGGGGGUCCGCUCUUUAAAUCAUGAACCGAUUUUUCUCCUUUAUUUAGGUUCCAGCUUGUCAAAAGUCUGUGAACCCUGUCUUACUACCUGUAACUCGUUACAGGGCCUACCACUUAGUCUACAGUUUGGCUGUAAGGCAGCCCCCAGCCAGCUUGGUGUACCGGCGGUCGGGGCCUGUUCGCUAUUACUACAACUACCAUGGAUGCAGAGGCACUGCGACAUGAGUCUCCAUUAGUGUGUCGGCAGUGGUACCUUCCUUCUAAUGUCACUACUUAAAAGGUCAGAGACAACCAAUUUAUUAUAUUCUCCAAGGCGCCCAACUUACUUUAAAUAAUUUUCCUUAUUUUUUAUACCACGUACCCAGAGUGCCCAACCAUAAGAAAUGUAGCCGCCAAACCCACAUUUGCUCUCAUAUUUUUAGUUAAGUCUGUAGUAAGCUAGCCGAGGCUAUUUAAUAUAUUAUAAUGUCAUAAGUUAACAUUUGACACUUCUAAACUUAGAUAUUUGUCGUUUAGUCAAAUAAAUGUAUUAUAAGUAA